AUGCGGAUCAGAUCGCGUGCUUCGUGAGGUAUUGGCAGCUCGCUUCACGUUCAGUCGACACCAAGUCAAUGAAGUCGCCUCGGUUCCGCAACUUCACGGCUCGGACUGACUGGUCAAGGCAAGUCAACGGGUCAAGAUUGGUCAGCAAUAGUCAACUGGUCAAACCUGGUCAACUAUCGGGUCAACGACUCAUCCGAGACUUGGGUGACCUCGGUGUUCCAUCUCCCAUAUCCCUUUUACUCGUC
rnacentral:lncRNA from 1 species